rnacentral:rRNA from 1 species
UACGUAGGGCGCAAGCGUUGUCCGGAAUUAUUGGGCGUAAAGAGCUCGUAGGCGGUUUGUCGCGUCUGCUGUGAAAACCUAAGGCUCAACCUUGGGCUUGCAGUGGGUACGGGCAGACUAGAGUGCGGUAGGGGUGACUGGAAUUCCUGGUGUAGCGGUGAAAUGCGCAGAUAUCAGGAAGAACACCCGUGGCUAAGGCGGCUCUCUAGUACGG